CCAAUACUUCAGACCUCCUCUGAAGAAGCAGCGCAGAUGGUAUCUCAGAAUAAAAGAUACUGUGGUCAGCAUUCUGUUGUAAAAGCCACCGGUACAUGCAGUUGGAUUCUCAGGAUACCGUCGCAGUAGAACAUUGGGACUCUAUGGAAGGAAAGAGGUCUGCUCCAACUGGUUGUGAGAAGAGGAGGCCUUAUAAAAGAGAUGGCCACAGAGAGGAGCUGGAAGUGGGAAGUCAGUGCUAACCUGGAGGAGAAGGAGGAGGACAGUGCCAUGUGAUGGGAAAGCCAAAGAACCUCAAGGACUGCGGUAAGCCAGCACCAGAAUGCUACCAAACCCAGGAGGAGGCAAGUCAUCUAGUCUCUGAAACAGUGAGGCAAUAAAUUCCCAUUGUUUUAGCCAGUCCAUUGUGGAGUAUUUCUCAUAGCAGCCUGGAAAACUAAGACACAAGCCAAGUGUCCAAAAACAAAUGAAUGGUUAAACAAAAUGUACAUACAAUGGAAUAUUAUUCAUUCAUAAAAAGGAAUGAAGUUCUGAUACAUGCGACAACAUGGAUGAAUCUUGAAGACAUCAGACCAAAUGAAAUAAGCCAGACA